rnacentral:SRP_RNA from 1 species
GCUGGGUGUGGUGGUGUGCACCUGUAAUCCCAGCUACUCAGGAGGCUGAGGCAGGAGAAUUGCUUGAACCAGGGAGACAGGGGUUGCAGUGAGCCAAGAUUGUGCCACUGCACUCCAGCUUGGAGAUAGAGUAAGACUCUGUCUCUAAAUAAAUAAAUAAAUAAAGUUUAUGUAGAAAUGAAAAUUCUUCUUUUUUUUUUUUUUUGAGACGGAGUCUCGCUGUGCUCCCAGGCUGGAGUGCAGUGGCGUGAUCUCGGCUCACUGCAAGCUCCGCCUCCCGGGUUCACGCCAUUCUCCCGCCUCAG